CCUGAUAGCUCAGUUGGUAAAGAAUCUGCCUGCAAUGCAGGAGACCCUGGUUCGAUUCCUGGGUCAGAA
rnacentral:tRNA from 1 species